AUGUGUGUGACCCAUUGGAUUCCACAUCUAGCUGACAAUAGGUCUGGAUGCAAGUUGAUCAAAUUUGAUUAGAUUUCAAUCUAAUCGAUUUUGGUCCAAUCGAGCUAACCCGAGUUCAACAAUUAUAAUCCUUUCUAAUUGGUAAUCGAAUUAAAUUUUUUAAUUCGAUCAAAAAAUCUAUAAGUCAAGAUUGACGUUUAAUAAUGUAUCAUGACUACCCAGA
rnacentral:lncRNA from 1 species